rnacentral:rRNA from 1 species
AGCAGCCGCGGUAAUUCCAGCUCCAAUAGCGUAUAUUAAAGUUGUUGCAGUUAAAAAGCUCGUAGUUGAAUUUCGGGAUCAAAUUGUCGGUCGUGCCUCGGUACGCACUGGUAUUAUUGGUUCCUACCUUCUGAAGAACCGCGAUGUCAUUAAUUUGGUGUCGUGGGGAAUCAGGACUGUUACUUUGAAAAAAUUAGAGUGUUUAAAGCAGGCUUACGCUUGAAUACAUUAGCAUGGAAUAAUGAAAUAGGACAUUUGAUUCUAUUUUGUUGGUUUCUAGGAUUGACGUAAUGAUUAAUAGGGAUAGUUGGGGGCAUUAGUAUUCAAUUGUCAGAGGUGAAAUUCUUGGAUUUAUUGAAGACUAACUACUGCGAAAGCAUUUGCCAAGGAUGUUUUCAUUAAUCAAGAACGAAAGUUAGGGGAUCGAAGACGAUCAGAUACCGUCGUAGUCUUAACCAUAAACUAUGCCGACUAGGGAUCGGAUGAUGUUAAUUUUUAAUGACUCAUU